rnacentral:rRNA from 1 species
GACGAAGGAUGCAAGCGUUAUCCGGAUUCAUUGGGUUUAAAGGGUGCGUAGGUGGAUUUGUAAGUCAGUGGUGAAAUCUCUCAGCUUAACUGAGAAACUGCCAUUGAUACUGCAGAUCUUGAGUACAGAUGAUGUGGGCGGAAUAUGACAUGUAGUGGUGAAAUACUUAGAUAUGUCAUAGAACACCGAUUGCGAAGGCAGCUCACAAAACUGUAACUGACACUGAGGCACGAAAGUGCGGGGAUCAAACAGG